UACGAAGGGGGCUAGCGUUGCUCGGAAUCACUGGGCGUAAAGGGUGCGUAGGCGGGUCUUUAAGUCAGGGGUGAAAUCCUGGAGCUCAACUCCAGAACUGCCUUUGAUACUGAGGAUCUUGAGUUCGGGAGAGGUGAGUGGAACUGCGAGUGUAGAGGUGAAAUUCGUAGAUAUUCGGAGGAACACCAGUGGCGAAGGCGGCUCACUGGCUCGGUACUGACGCUGAGGUGCGAAAGCGUGGGGAGCAAACAGG
rnacentral:rRNA from 1 species